rnacentral:lncRNA from 1 species
UUUGUCCGAUGUUCUAAUGGUAAAUUGUAGUGAAAAGGAAUGAACAUCACCACACAGAAAUAUCACGAAUAUUUCAUAUAUGUGUGCCUGUGUAAAAUAAACUAUUAAGGUUCGUUUUCCACCACUUCGAUUAAAUUUUGUUUAAUUUUCAAAAAUCUUUCUCUUAUAAACCUAUGAAGUUUUCAAUUCCGUAACACGCAGACGGUUUAUGACGAAAACCUUCAGAAACUUCCCGUGGUGCAUUGCGCGCAGCAGACUUUCACUUCCGACUAAAUCAAAACAAAGUGAGUAAUUGUGCGAUAACUGUUGUUAAUUAAUUACUAUGGAAUCAAGUAGCAUUGGAAAAGGUACCAGGCCUACGGGAUUAACAAUACCCUCCGGUGAGACAUUUACAUUGUUUAUUUUGUCCUGCUUUCACAUUUUAUUUCAUUGUAUCUAUUCUCUUUUAAUUUUCAGUAUUCUUUCAAUGUGUCUGUUCGUUAUUUCAUUCAUUCAAAAUCAUUUCUGUUCUAUUCUUCGGUAAUAACAAAUAUUUUAGUGUUUCAUAUAUUUUUGGCUGAUGAAUUCAGUUGUCUUGCACUUGUAAUUGCAAAUAUAAAAUAGGAUUAGGGUAAAAUAAGUUGAAGAUAAAACUAACACAAUUAAUACUUGUUUCUAAUUUUGGCACAAGGCCUGCAGUUUCUGAGAGGGAGGGGUCAAUCGAUUACAUCAACUAUAUUUUAUCGACGUCGAAAAGAAGUGAAGCAAUUUUGUCCUCAGUGGGGAUUUGAAUUUAGAAUGUAAAGAGCCAAAAUAAAUACCGCCAGGCAUUUCCCCGCCGCUUCAUGAAUUAAUAAUAAAAAUAACAACAAUAAUAAAUAUUUUGGCAUAUCUUCGCUAUAUUUUUUAAUAUUUGUGUUUAAAUACUUAGGUAUAUAUAUAUAUAUAUAUAUAUAUAUCCUAAUUUUUUAUUCUAUUACAUCCGUCUUGUAAGACAAGGUGAUAGUAAAAAAUUACUGGAAAAGGGUACGGAAUUGGGGGACUAAAAUUCUGUUGUAAAAGGAAAGAACCACCCAGCUCCUUGCUCUUUUCCAUGGAGUAGUGACAGCUAUUCUGACAGUCCGCCACGCUCACACAAGACGUGUGUAAUUGUAAGAUUACCUUUGUUGUUAGUAGUAGUAGUAGUAGUAGUUGCUUCGGCACCACAUAUAAUAAACUUAUUAUAAUUAUUUGCAUUAAUUCAUUGUUAUUUUCCUGUUAAAUUUUCUGUUUCCCGUUCCUGUUUUUGCUAAUGUCACUGGGAGUAGCAUUAACAUCACAACCUCCUAUUUCUGUCUGAGAGUCCUUACAUAUUAAAAUUGCACUUAUCAUAUGUAUAUCUGAGUGUAUGUCUCUUGUAAAAGGGGUGAUGUCUACAACACGUGUGUGUGUGUGUAUGGUGGAAGUCGACUUGUGGUUAACUUAGGCUACUUCUUAAACUCAUUUCAUUCUAAGAAAAUCUUAACAUUUGGUUUCGUUAUUGCUGAUGAUGUGUCAUAUGGCUCUUAAGGCCUUCAAGGACUUGCAAAUCAUUCUACAUUGAAUGCAAUUUUGUCAGGUUACCGAUAAGAAACUAUUUCAAUGUUGACAUUAUUAAGCUGAAUGAGUCUACUGGCUGACCUACACACUUACAUGAGAGAACGUGCUGAAUACCAUAUUGGUAGACGAGAGUGUUUCUAUGGUGGCGUUUGUCUUGCUCCACCGUAGAAACAUGGUUACCCUGGUCGGACAGACAGACAGACAGAGAUGGUGGCAGGUGUACCCUCAAAGUACAAGGCAGUGAAGGUAAAUGGAGAGGUAGGGUUAGACAGCGUACGUCAACAGGGUGGUCACGAUAGUGCAAAGGGUGGGGAGGAAAGGGAAAAGGGAAUGCAGUGAGUGGUGAAACAGAUAUAUAGGUAAAGCAACAGGUUGGCAAUGAUAUGAAUGACAGGGGGAGGACAGGAGAGAGAGAGAGAGAAAGAUGACAGAAUGACAGGCUUCAGAACUGGAAGAGGGAGACAAGCAUAGUGCAUGAAGAAGAGAUGUAGUUAGGUUCACUGGGUUGGGGUUUGUGAAUUAAUAUAUUAAUAUAAAGUUGGUUUCAAAUUUUGGUAAAAGACAAGUAAGUUCGGUGGGGAGAGGCAAGUUGGUUACAUUGACCACAGUGCUCAACUGGUACUUACUUUAUUGACCCCCAUAAGGAUGUAGGGCAAAGUCAACCCCAGCAGAAUUUGAACUUAGAAUGUAAAGACGGAUGAAAUGCUGCCAAGCAUUUCAAUAUUAAUAUUAGAUGUGGGUGGAAAACUCAACACUUCCAGAAUUCAUUUUCACUGAGGUAGGCAGUUCUUCUCAAGAACCUCAUAUCACCUGAUAAUAAUAAUAAAACAUUGUGUACAGUGCUCAGGUGCACUACAACUCAUCUAAAGUGUAUGUAUAGUACAUAGGGUAAUGUACAAGCGUCAGGAAAAGAACAGUGCAUGAGUCAUGACAUACACAUAUG